AUACUGCUGAACAGUUCCAAACAAAACGAAAGAGCUGUCCAGUAU
rnacentral:hammerhead_ribozyme from 1 species